CAGUAUCCCUUCGGCAAAAACCCGAUUCAGCCGUUUUUUACGAUUGCUCACGUGGCGAAUACUAUCGGUUUUGAAUAUUUAGGUUUCAAACGUUUCUCAACCACUGGAGCCGAUAGUCACACCAUAAGAAACAAUUUACAAAGUCUUAACAUACAAAAUAACAUGUGCUGCACUCUAUGCUAUAUAAAAAAUUGUAGCUAAAGUAUUAUCGAAUGCAACGCCAUCUUCUUCUGAGUUUUUGAAUCAUAGAGCAAAGAAUUACAUCAAGACAGAGAACUCUGGACAAUAAAAUAGACUCAAUGCUACGAAUAAAAUGUUAUAAUAUUUUUUAUUAUAGUCCUUUAACUAUAAACUUCCUUUGGCUUAUAACAUACACAAAUAUUUAGGAAAUUUAAAAACUAUUACAUCAAUUUAUUUAUUUUUAUUUAUAAAUUUCCCGAUUAAAAUGUUAAUUAAAUUAAUGAAGUAUUAAAAUAUAUAAAAUUAAUUAUAUAUUAAUGUAUAAUUGUAAAGAAAAAAUGAAAUAUAAAUAUUCUAGUAGCUUUUA